rnacentral:misc_RNA from 1 species
GGUCCUGCAAUUUAGGGGUUCUUUGUGAUGCCUUAAGGCAUCACUAAAGAUAUUUCAAAGUAAAUAGAAAGCGAUUUAUUUAAUAAGGAAACUAAAAGAAGUGAGGAAUGCCUUAAGGCAUCACUAAAGAUAUUCCAAAGUAAAUAGAAAGCGAUUUAUUUAAUAAGGAAACUAAAAGAAGUGAGGAAUGCCUUAAGGCAUCACUAAAGAUAUUCCAAAGUAAAUAGAAAGCGAUGUAAUUAACAAAUUUAGUAGGGUCUUUAAGUCUA